UGUUCAAGGCUGACCCAACCGCUACUGUGGAGAAAGAGAUCAGCCGUGUCGGGCCCGGGGGCUAUUUCGGACUGGAUGUGCACGCGUUUGAGCGGCUGAUGGGCCCCUGCAUGGACAUCAUGAAGCGCAACAUCGGCCACUACGAGUCGCAGCUGCUGCACAUAUUUGGGGACAAGGCCAACAUCUCGGACCUGCGGUGAAGACGGCGCCGGCCCUAGAAACAUAGAUCUAUUUUUUUUCCCGUUAUCUCAGAAUGUGACGAUGAUUAAUUAACUUUCUCGUAGUUCCUCCUCUAGUAAAUGAACUUUUGGUUUACCGCAUCAUUUUUUAAUUUUUUUGUUUAAUUUUUGUUUGUUUUUGUUUUGUUUUGUUUUUUCUUUUAAUUUUUCAUUUGUAUUCCACGCAUGUAAGAGAGAGAGAGAGAGAGAGAGUGAAAGGGGAUGGAAGGAGAGAGACAGUGAGAGAGAGAAUGUGGAAGAUUUUGAUUAAAAGGUGCUGAGUGGCCUUACGACUGCGUUUUCAUGAAUGUGACUAUAUGUGUGUUGUUAGUCAGUGUGUUUGUUAUUGUUUUUGUGUCGUGGGAUAGUGUGUCUGUCAGUGUGUCUGUCGCGGUGUGUCGCUGUGCACUUUUCUGUUUCUCUGCUAGGUGGAUAUGGCAUGUGUGUAUUUAUACAUAUCUCAAUGUUAUGUUGCCUCGUAAUCUCGAGAGAAACUUGUGUUUGCUCUCCACUGAUGUUGGAAUUACCAAAUGUUUGCAGUCAGGCGUUUGCUAUUCAUUUUGUUGUUUGCACUUUCGUAGCUCCCUAUGUUUAUAUAAAUUAUAUGUUUCAUAGCACUGCAGUGGUCGGGCCCAGGUUCGAAUCCCUCUUAAACAUUUUGCUGUCACAAGGCUCAUGUAGUGUGGGUGGUUGGCGGGUGCUCUGGUGUGGUCUGCUCCUUCUUUUCUGUCAAACAUCUAUCGUCCUUUUCUCUCCUCCUCCUUCUUUUUUGUGCUUGUUACUCUCUUGUAACACCUCUAAUCUUCGGCACUUAUAUGACCCCCUUAUUGUGUUGCAAAUGCCGUAAAAGUCUUACUAAAACUAAAGCACUCAGUAUUAGUGAUAGGAAACUCGGUGAAGUGCACUCUGUCGGCUUUUCUUGUUCUUUUCGCUCGCUCUCGUUCAUUUCGCUGUCUCUUCUUUCACUGCAGACCUUGCAAACUGGGGUCAGGUUAUCGUAGUGAGCAAUGGUCUACUUGUGUUAACUCAUUCUGUUUUUAAUUAACAGGUUUUUUGGCUGGACUUGGCUUUAGGUGUCAAUGUGUACAUCUUUGUGUGUGUGU
rnacentral:sRNA from 1 species